CCUACGGGUGGCAUGCAGUGGGGAAUUUUGGACAAUGUGGGGAAUACCCUGUAUCCAGCCAUCCCGCGUGUGCGAUGAAGGCCUUCGGGUUGUAUAAGCACUUUUGGCAGGAAAGAAACGUCAUGGGCUAAUACCCCGUGAAACUGACGGUACACGUGCAGAAUAUAGCACCGGCUUAACUAAGCGUGCCCAGCAGUCCGCGGUAAUACGUAGGGUGCAAGCGUUAAUCGGAAUUACUGGGCGUAUAAGCGUGCGCAGGCGGUUCGGAAAUGAAAGAUGUGAAAUCCCAGAGCUUAACUUUGGAACUGCAUUUUUAACUACCGAGCUAGAGUGUGUCAGUAGGGAGGUGGAAUUCCGCGUGUAGCAGUGAAAUGCGUAGAUAUGCGGAGGAACACCGAUGGCGAAGGCAGCCUCCUGGGAUAACGCUGACGCUCAUGCACGAAAGCGUGGGGAGCAAACAGGAUUAGAUACCCUAGUAGUC
rnacentral:rRNA from 1 species